AGCAGCCGCGGUAAUUCCAGCUCCAAUAGCGUAUAUUAAAGUUGUUGCAGUUAAAAAGCUCGUAGUUGAAUUUCGGGGUCUGUCCGUCGGUCGGGCUUCACGGUCCGUACUGGUGUGAUGGGUUCCUACCUUCUGAAUAACCGGCAUGCCAUUCAGUUGGUGCGCCGGGGAAGCAGAGCUAUUACCUUGAAAAAAUUAGAGUGCUUAAAGCAGGCUAGUGCUUGAAUAGAUUAGCAUGGAAUAAUAAAAUAGGACGGCAUGGUUCUAUUUUGUUGGUUUCUAGGAUCACCGUAAUGAUUAAUAGGGAUAGUUGGGGGCAUUAGUAUUCAAUUGUCAGAGGUGAAAUUCUUGGAUUUAUUGAAGACUAACUUCUGCGAAAGCAUUUGCCAAGGAUGUUUUCAUUAAUCAAGAACGAAAGUUAGGGGAUCGAAGACGAUCAGAUACCGUCGUAGUCUUAACCAUAAACUAUGCCGACUAGGGAUCGGACGAUGUUAAUUUUUUAAUGACUCG
rnacentral:rRNA from 1 species